rnacentral:rRNA from 1 species
UACGAAGGGGGCUAGCGUUGCUCGGAAUCACUGGGCGUAAAGCGCGCGUAGGCGGAUUGUUAAGUCAGGGGUGAAAUCCUGGAGCUCAACUCCAGAACUGCCUUUGAUACUGGCGAUCUCGAGUCCGGGAGAGGUGAGUGGAACUGGCGAGUGUAGAGGUGAAAUUCGUAGAUAUUCGCAAGAACACCAGUGGCGAAGGCGGCUCACUGGCCCGGUACUGACGCUGAGGUGCGAAAGCGUGGGAGCAACAGG